GGAAUCGCUAGUAAUCGCAGGUCAGCAUACUGCGGUGAAUACGUUCCCGGGCCUUGUACACACCGCCCGUCACACCAUGGAAGUUGGCCACGCCCGAAGCCGUUACUCCAACCCUUGUGGAGGAGGACGUCGAAGGUGGGGCUGAUGACUGGGGUGAAGUCGUAACAAGGUAUCCGUACCGGAAGGUGCGGAUGGAUCACCUCCUAA
rnacentral:rRNA from 1 species